rnacentral:rRNA from 1 species
CNNGGAGUGGNUAAGCGUUAUCCCGGAAUCGUUGGGUUUAAANGGGUCCGUAGGCGGGCUUAUAAGUCAGAGGUGAAAUCCCACAGCUUAACUGUGGAACUGCCUUUGAUACUGUAGGUCUUGAGUAAUAGUGAGGUAGAUGGAAUGUGUAGUGUAGCGGUGAAAUGCAUAGAUAUUACACAGAACACCGAUUGCGAAGGCAGUCUACUAACUAUUUACUGACGCUGAGGGACGAAAGCGUGGGUAGCGAACAGGAUUAGAUACCCUGGGUAGUCCACGCCGUAAACGAUGGAUACUAGCUGUUGGACUUUAGGGUUCUGGCCAAGCAAAAGUGAUAAGUAUCCCACCUGGGGAGUACGUUCGCAAGAAUGAAACUCAAAGGAAUUGACGGGGGCCCGCACAAGCGGUGGAGCAUGUGGUUUAAUUCGAUGAUACGCGAGGAACCUUACCAGGGCUUAAAUGUAGAGUGCAUUAGGUGGAGACACUUAUUUCUUCGGACUCUCUACAAGGUGCUGCAUGGUUGUCGUCAGCUCGUGCCGUGAGGUGUCAGGUUAAGUCCUAUAACGAGCGCAACCCCUAUCGUUAGUUGCUAACAGGUCAAGCUGAGGACUCUAGCGAGACUGCCGGUGCAAACCGUGAGGAAGGUGGGG